rnacentral:rRNA from 1 species
UACGUAGGGUGCGAGCGUUGUCCGGAAUUAUUGGGCGUAAAGGGCUCGUAGGCGGUCUGUCGCGUCGGGAGUGAAAACUCAGGGCUUAACCCUGAGCCUGCUUCCGAUACGGGCAGACUAGAGGUAUGCAGGGGAGAACGGAAUUCCUGGUGUAGCGGUGGAAUGCGCAGAUAUCAGGAGGAACACCGGUGGCGAAGGCGGUUCUCUGGGCAUUACCUGACGCCGAGGAGCGAAAGUGUGGGGAGCGAACAGG